rnacentral:rRNA from 1 species
GCCAGCAGCCGCGGUAACACCGGCGGCCCGAGUGGUGAUCGUGAUUAUUGGGUCUAAAGGGUCCGUAGCCGGUUUGGUCAGUCCUCCGGGAAAUCUGAUAGCUCAACUAUUAGGCUUUCGGGGGAUACUGCCAGACUUGGAACCGGGAGAGGUAAGAGGUACUACAGGGGUAGGAGUGAAAUCUUGUAAUCCCUGUGGGACCACCUGUGGCGAAGGCGUCUUACCAGAACGGGUUCGACGGUGAGGGACGAAAGCUGGGGGCACGAACCGGAUUAGAUACCCGGGUAGUCCCAGCCGUAAACGAUGCUCGCUAGGUGUCAGGCAUGGCGCGACCGUGUCUGGUGCCGCAGGGAAGCCGUGAAGCGAGCCACCUGGGAAGUACGGCCGCAAGGCUGAAACUUAAAGGAAUUGGCGGGGGAGCACAACAACGGGUGGAAGCCUGCGGUUUAAUUGGACUCAACGCCGGACAACUCACCGGGGGCGACAGCAAUACGUAGGCCAAGCUGAAGACUUUGCCUGAAUCGCUGAGAGGAGGUGCAUGG